CCCUUAGAUGUUCUGGGCCGCACGCGCGCUACACUGAUGAAUUCAACGAGCUCCUAACCUAGGCCGAAGGGUCCGGGUAAUCUUUGAAAUUUCAUCGUGAUGGGGAUAGAUUAUUGCAAUUAUUAAUCUUCAACGAGGAAUUCCUAGUAAGCGCGAGUCAUCAGCUCGCGUUGAUUACGUCCCUGCCCUUUGUACACCCCGCCCGUCGCUCCUACCGAUUGAAUGGUCCGGUGAAAUGUUCGGACCGCGACAAGGCGGACGGUUCGCUGUCAGCUUUGCUGCGGGAAGUUCAUUAAACCUUAUCAUUUAGAGGAAGGAGAAGUCGUAACA
rnacentral:rRNA from 1 species